UACGUAGGGUGCGAGCGUUAAUCGGAAUUACUGGGCGUAAAGCGUGCGCAGGCGGUUCGUUGUGUCGGCGGUGAAAGCCCCGGGCUUAACCUGGGAAUGGCCGUCGAAACUGGCGAACUGGAAUCUGGCAGAGGGGGGUGGAAUGCCGCGUGUAGCAGUGAAAUGCGUAGAGAUGCGGAGGAACACCGAUGGCGAAGGCAGCCCCCUGGGCUGACACUGACGCUCAGGCACGAAAGCGUGGGGAGCAAACAGG
rnacentral:rRNA from 1 species